AUCUUUUCUUAUCAGUUUAAUAUCUGAUACGUCCCCUACCCGGGGACUUCAUAUUAAAUGGAUUUUUGAAUCAUGGAGCUGGAGCCGGGGCUUGCUCCG
rnacentral:snRNA from 1 species